UAAGCAGUAGAAGUGAAAAAGCAACUUAGUUCUAUAUUAGAAAUUGAGAUACAGAGAGAGAAAGCACAUAGUUCAAAAUGCCCACCAACUUCACAGUUGUCCCUGUGGAAGACGGGGCAAAGUCUGCCCAGGAUAAAGGAGAGAGCAGCCUGAAUGACAGAGAACAGGAAGGACUGGAUUUCUUUGCCGGGGCCUUCUCAGGCAUUCAUUUUCUACAUCCCGGCUGUCAAAAAAGAAUAUUACCACAAUGAUUUUUUUUUUUUUUUUCAAUCUGACUUGUUGCUGAAACAGCUCAGCUCACUGCUACCACCCCUACGCUGACUCGGGAGCGGCAAAGACGAACACACAGUGACCUGCGAAACGUGUGCAGUCAGCCGACCGCUUCUUUACACACUGAGGACAAC